AUACUGAGGGUGCAAACGUUAAUCGGAAUUACUGGGCGUAAAGCGCACGUAGGCGGUUUAUUAAGUCAGAUGUGAAAGCCCUGGGCUUAACCUGGGAACUGCAUUUGAGACUGGUAGGCUAGAGUAUGGUAGAGGAUAGUGGAAUUCCGGGUGUAGCGGUGAAAUGCGUAGAUAUCCGGAGGAACAUCAGUGGCGAAGGCGGCUAUCUGGACCAAUACUGACGCUGAGGUGCGAAAGCGUGGGGAGCAAACAGGAUUAGAAACCCCAGUAGUCC
rnacentral:rRNA from 1 species